GUCUCAGUUCAGAUUGCAGGCUGCAACUCGCCUGCAUGAAGUCGGAAUUGCUAGUAAUCGCAGAUCAGCAUGCUGCGGUGAAUACGUUCCCGGGCCUUGUACACACCGCCCGUCACACCAUGGGAGUCGGUAACACCCGAAGUCGGUAGCCUAACCGUAAGGAGGGCGCCGCCGAAGGUGGGGACUGAUGACUGGGGUGAAGUCGUAACAAGGUAAC
rnacentral:rRNA from 1 species